rnacentral:rRNA from 1 species
GACGAACGCUGGCGGCGUGCUUAACACAUGCAAGUCGAACGGAAAGGCCCUGCUCUUGUGGGGUGCUCGAGUGGCGAACGCGUGAGUAUCACGUGAGUAACCUGCCCUUGACUUUGGGAUAACUUCAGGAAACUGGGGCUAAUACCGGAUAGGAGCUCUUGCUGCAUGGUGUGGGUUGGAAAGUUUCGGCGGUUGGGGAUGGAAUCGCGGCUUAUCAGCUUGUUGGUGGAGUAGUGACUUACCAAGGUUUUGACGGGUAGCCGGCCUGAGAGGGUGACCGGGCACAUUGGGACUGAGAGACGGCGCAGACUCCUACGGGAGGCAGCAGUGGGGAAUAUGGCACAAUGGGCGGAAGCCUGAGGCAGCAACGCCGCGUGCGGAAUGACGGCCUUCGGGUGGUAAACCGCUUUCGCCUGUGACGAGGCGUGAGUGACGGUAAUGGGUAAAGAAGCACCGGCUAACUACGUG